rnacentral:rRNA from 1 species
AGCAGCCGCGGUAAUUCCAGCUCCAAUAGCGUAUAUUAAAGUUGUUGCAGUUAAAAAGCUCGUAGUUGAAUUUCGGGGUUCUACCGUCGGUCGGGCUACCAAGUCUGUACUGGUGUGUAGAAUUCCUACCUUCUGGGGAACUAUCAUGUUAUUAAUUUAGCGUGGUGGGAAACCAGAACCUUUACCUUGAAAAAAUUAGAGUGUUCAAAGCAGGCUUAUGUCUGAAUACAUUAGCAUGGAAUAAUAGAAUAGGACGGUGGUCCUGUUUUGUUGGUUUCUGAAUCACCGUAAUGAUUAAUAGGGAUAGUUGGGGGCAUUAGUAUUCAAUUGUCAGAGGUGAAAUUCUUGGAUUUAUUGAAGACUAACUUCUGCGAAAGCAUUUGCCAAGGAUGUUUUCAUUAAUCAAGAACGAAAGUUAGGGGAUCGAAGACGAUCAGAUACCGUCGUAGUCUUAACCAUAAACUAUGCCGACUAGGGAUCGGACGAUGUUAAAUUUUAUUGACUCGUUCGGCGCCUUACG